GGUCAGUGGCAAACGGGAGCGUAACACGUAAGCAAUCUACCCUUAAGACUGGCAUAACCUGCCGAAAGGUGGGCUAAUUCCAGAUGUGCUAUUCCAUGUAAUGUUGGAAUAACAAAGGGAACCACAAGAACCGCUUGAGGAUGAGCUUGCGGCCUAUCAGCUAGUUGGUGGGGUAAUGGCCUACCAAGGCAACGACGGGUAGCUGAUCUGAGAGGAUGACCAGCCUCAUUGGAACUGAGACACGGUCCAGACUCCUACGGGAGGCAGCAGUGAGGAAUUUUCCGCAAUGGACGAAAGUCUGACGGAGCGACGCCGCGUGUGUGAUGAAGUUUUUCGGAAUGUAAAACACUGUCAGGGGGGAAGAUAUUGACUGUACCCCCAGAGAAGCCCCGCCAACU
rnacentral:rRNA from 1 species